rnacentral:rRNA from 1 species
GGUUAAGCGACUAAGCGUACACGGUGGAUGCCCUGGCAGUCAGAGGCGAUGAAGGACGUGCUAAUCUGCGAAAAGCGUCGGUAAGGUGAUAUGAACCGUUAUAGCCGGCGAUGUCCGAAUGGGGAAACCCAGUGCAAUUCGUUGCACUAUCGUUAACUGAAUACAUAGGUUAACGAGGCGAACCGGGGGAACUGAAACAUCUAAGUACCCCGAGGAAAAGAAAUCAACCGAGAUUCCCCCAGUAGCGGCGAGCGAACGGGGAGCAGCCCAGAGUCUGAAUCAGCUUGUGUGUUAGUGGAACGGUCUGGAAAGUCCGACGGUACAGGGUGAUAGUCCCGUACACCAAAAUGCACAGGCUGUGAACUCGAAGAGUAGGGCGGGACACGUGGUAUCCUGUCUGAAUAUGGGGGGACCAUCCUCCAAGGCUAAAUACUCCUGACUGACCGAUAGUGAACCAGUACCGUGAGGGAAAGGCGAAAAGAACCCCGGCGAGGGGAGUGAAAAAGAACCUGAAACCGUGUACGUACAAGCAGUGGGAGCACCUUCGGGUGUGACUGCGUACCUUUUGUAUAAUGGGUCAGCGACUUAUAUUCUGUAGCAAGGUUAACCGUAUAGGGGAGCCGCAGGGAAACCGAGUCUUAACUGGGCGUUAAGUUGCAGGGUAUAGACCCGAAACCCGGUGAUCUAGCCAUGGGCAGGUUGAAGGUUGGGUAACACUAACUGGAGGACCGAACCGACUAAUGUUGAAAAAUUAGCGGAUGACUUGUGGCUGGGGGUGAAAGGCCAAUCAAACCGGGAGAUAGCUGGUUCUCCCCGAAAGCUAUUUAGGUAGCGCCUCGUGAACUCAUCUUCGGGGGUAGAGCACUGUUUCGGCUAGGGGGUCAUCCCGACUUACCAACCCGAUGCAAACUACGAAUACCGAAGAAUGUUAUCACGGGAGACACACGGCGGGUGCUAACGUCCGUCGUGAAGAGGGAAACAACCCAGACCGCCAGCUAAGGUCCCAAAGUCAUGGUUAAGUGGGAAACGAUGUGGGAAGGCACAGACAGCCAGGAUGUUGGCUUAGAAGCAGCCAUCAUUUAAAGAAAGCGUAAUAGCUCACUGGUCGAGUCGGCCUGCGCGGAAGAUGUAACGGGGCUAAACCAUGCACCGAAGCUGCGGCAGCGACACUAUGUGUUGUUGGGUAGGGGAGCGUUCUGUAAGCCUGCGAAGGUGUG